AUGUCUACAGUAAACAGCUACACAAACAGAAAUGUGUAUCAGGUCUGAAGUCUCAAAUAAUCCCCCACGUUGCAGAUCCUAAUAAACGGCCCUGGCGGGUCCUCGUUGAUCGGGGCGCUGGGCAUGAACAAAUAGGGAAGAGAUUCAAUCCAAGCCCAAAGGGAAAGAAAGUCCUUCUCGCUCGUGCUGGCAAACUCCCAGCAAGUGCCAGGGAUUCGCCCCCGCGAAGGAAAGGAUGGUCAGUCAGCAGGCGAAGAUAUUGCUGGGCGGCGCUUGGUGUCCGAGCGGAACGGAAGAAAACAAAGCUCCCCCUUGCUGAGGGUGGGCGUUUGGCUCCUUGCCUCUCCCAGCGUAUCAAGGGCAUGACAUGUGGAUGACUCCAGGAAGAGGGACUGCUAAGCAGAGAUGGGGGCCACCCAUGGAGGCAGUGGAAGAGCAUAUUUGGACACAGACUGGCUAACCUAGUGAGGCAGGCUUUAAACUAGGUUUGAAGGGGGCAGGUGACAAAAGCCCACAGGAGAUGCGCAAGAGUCUUUGCCACCACCACGUCUCAAAGGCUUCUUUUUUUUUGUCCAAAGCGUUAAUUUCUCAUGAUUCACACCCAUAAAUCACUUAAUCCAAAAUAAAGCUUUUCACCAAUUGAAUCUUCAUACAUUUUCAGGUGCUAUUGUUCUCAUAAAGGAGACCAUAGCUGAGCAAGCCAUUCCUACUCUUCUUCCAAUGUCUUUGGAACAGCCUUUGUGGUUGGAUAUGUCUGAUUCCAGAUAACUGAAUUCUUCUACUGCCUCUAUUGUUUGACCAUUAAUCAUGGUGUCCACUUAUCUGAUUUUUUCUCAGCUGGCCACUCCUUCUCACUCUUUAUUUCUCUGUGGAAUGAGACACGUCAGCAGGCAGGCCUCCUUCCCUGAGGACGAAGUUGUGGCCCAAAGCAUCCAAGUAUUCAGACUACUGUGAUAAUCUUGUACAAAAUAUGCCUUGUGAGGUAUCAUUUUAAAAACUAAUAACUCGCAGGUCAACAAUAUCAUGGUGAUAUGUAUGUAGCAACAUUAUAUGUCAAGUUAUGCAUUCCCCCUGUAUGAUUGUGAUGGGGUCUCCGGGGUGCAACUUGGACUGUGGGACCACUGAGCCCUCCAAAACCCACCAGCCUGGGGUAGCCUUCACGCUGUGAUGCUAAUGCCAAGUUACAAGCCUCUGACAGCCACUGCACUUACAGACAUCCACAGGCAGGGACACACCCAACUGACUUACAUGAAUGAUUUCCCAGUCACUCAUGAACCAUCAAUAGAGACGCUCCUGCCAAUUGCCCUCAGCUCCCCAGCCUUGCACCCCAGAACUGUACCAGCUUGAAAUGGUCAGAAGCCUGGUCAGUCUAAGUUCAAUACCUAGUUCGCUACUCAAACAACAAAGUAGUGGACAUGCAACAGCCCUUAUUAACCUGAGCUGAGAUUUCCCAAGCAAUUCAACCAAAACACACUGUUUUAGGUAAAAUAUAAAACAGAUUUAUUAACUACAGAAAGAUAGAUUUUAAGUGAGUAUAAGUGGUUGGCAUAAAGGUCAGAGAUAGUUACCUUAAGAAAAUGAAAAGUAAACACACAUUUAAAUCCUAAACUUUUAGUCUAAGCAAGAGUUGAAUCAAACAAUGUUUCACCCUGACAGAUGGCACAGGCAGGUUACAGUUCCUCAAUACACAGGCUGGGACUACCUACCAACCUGGGACCACCCUUCCCCAGUUCAAAGUCUUUGUCUUCCAGAUGUUUUUCCAGGUGUUGAGAUGGGGGGAGCCAAGUGAUGAUGUCACUUCCCCUCUUUUAUACUUUCUUCCAGCUUGCUGGAAAGAUCCUUGCUGCAAAGGGAGGAUCAGGUAGCCCCUGUUGGUCAAGCAGUCUUCAUUGCAUAUGUGUCUUCUCUUGGGAGUCUCUGGGAUAGUUUGGUUUCUUUUCUUGAUGGUUGUUCAUGAGCCAUUAAUGAACAUCUGGCUAUUGAUGGCUACUCCUUUGUUGUAACUGAAAGGUUGGUUGUGGCUGUUCCCAACCUCACAACGUAUUUCAGUAACACAAAUAGCAAUACUUAUUAACAUCACGUACAACGAUAGUACAUAAAAUCCAACAGCAUAUUAAUGUUCAACAGGGCAAGACUUUUAAAAUGAUACCUCACAAGAUAUACUUUGUACAAAACAUAUCAUAAUCAUAUCACCAUGGUGAAUAUGGAGUUCCAGGGUGCUACUUCGAAGUGGAGAGUGUUACAAUGAUGUUACUAGAACAUGUUCAGGACCAGAUGGCACUGUCUAAGUAAAAGUGUUAAAUAAGUGUGUCCUUAACAAAGGAAUGUGGGCUUACCUCAAUUUAUAUAGAAGCAGUAAAUGGGACCAUCAGGACAGCAGGGGGAGAACAAUUUGCAUUAUAGCAAACCCCAGCAGGGGACAACACCAACAGCAUGGAGCUUCCUUCACCACCAGAUUCCAUGUCUCCUUCCUCAGUUUGAAUAAACUUUACGCUGUGGGGUAAACUCCAGAAGAAUCUAUUUGAAAAAGGUUCACUGAACUAUGAAAGAAAGGGGCAGAAAACCCCAAGUUAUCUCUUUCACCUAAAACAACAAAAGAACCAGCAUUGUGGCCUUCUGGAGGAGAUCCAGGGCCCAGGGAGGGGGGGCAUUCAGUCAUUUUUCUGGAAGGACUGUGGGUGAGAAAAGCCAUCUUGGACAAAUUCUGUAUCUUGCUAGGUUAAGAUUUUAAUCACUAGAAAGUGUUUUUCCACUAUUUUUUGUUUGUAAUCAUUUCAGUCACAUUUAAAACUUUGUUUUCUUUUGUUAAGAAACUGUUUACUUUUAAUUUAAACUGUGUUGUGUUUGAAUUAAAGCAUUACUAAA